rnacentral:rRNA from 1 species
AGAGUUUGAUCCUGGCUCAGGACGAACGCUGGCGGCGUGCUUAACACAUGCAAGUCGAACGGAAAGGCCCCUUCGGGGGUGCUCGAGUGGCGAACGGGUGAGUAACACGUGGGUGAUCUGCCCUGCACUUCGGGAUAAGCUUGGGAGACUGGGUCUAAUACCGGAUAGGACCAUGGGAUGCAUGUCUUGUGGUGGAAAGCUUUUGCGGUGUGGGAUGGGCCCGCGGCCUAUCAGCUUGUUGGUGGGGUGAUGGCCUACCAAGGCGACGACGGGUAGCCGGCCUGAGAGGGUGUCCGGCCACACUGGGACUGAGAUACGGCCCAGACUCCUACGGGAGGCAGCAGUGGGGAAUAUUGCACAAUGGGCGCAAGCCUGAUGCAGCGACGCCGCGUGGGGGAUGACGGCCUUCGGGUUGUAAACCUCUUUCAGCAGGGACGAAGUGCAAGUGACGGUACCUGCAGAAGAAGCACCGGCCAACUAUGUGCCAGCAGCCGCGGUAAUACGUAGGGUGCGAGCGUUGUCCGGAAUUACUGGGCGUAAAGAGCUCGUAGGUGGUUUGUCGCGUUGUUCGUGAAAUUCCAUGGCUUAACUGUGGGCGUGCGGGCGAUACGGGCUGACUGGAGUACUGCACGGGAGACUGGAAUUCCUGGUGUAGCGGUGGAAUGCGCAGAUAUCAGGAGGAACCCCGGUGGCGAAGG